GUGAUUAGGUGUUAAGCCAGUGUGCAUGCCGUUGAUCAGAUUGAUCUGUUUCUUUCAGUCAGUAGAUUUAGGCAGUGGGACCUCUAGAUUUUUGGGAAUCUAGAAAAGGAAUCCAUUUGCAAGGAAAAAGAUAAAAAAUCUGAGGGAAGAGGAAGGCUCGGCGUAGAUGUAGGGAAGAGAGGGGACUGGACUGGAGUAGAAAGAGC
rnacentral:misc_RNA from 1 species